AUAGAGGAGUGACCAUGUAGGUACUAGGGAUGGAGGAGAGACCAUGUAGGUACUAGGGAUGGAGGAGUGACCAUGUAGGUACUAGGGAUGGAGGAGUGACCAUGUAGGUACUAGGGAUAGAGGAGUGACCAUGUAGGUACUAGGGAUAGAGGAGAGACCAUGUAGGUACUAGGGAUGGAGGAGUGACCAUGUAGGUACUAGGGAUGGAGGAGUGACCAUGUAGGUACUAGGGAUAGAGGAGUGACCAUGUAGGUACUAGGGAUAGAGGAGUGACCAUGUAGGUACUAGGGAUAGAGGAGUGACCAUGCAGGUACUAGGGAUGGAGGAGUGACCAUGCAGGU